UCACACAGGCCAACCUCCACUUCCAAAGUGCAUUACGACCCUGUCACUAGAACAUUUUCAGUCGGUGGUAACCACAGCCACCUCACAAGACCUGCUUUUUUUCUUUUCUUUUUUUUUUUUUUAAAGAGACGCAGAGGUCGAACUGUCACUGUUUGGUCCUUGUCUAAGUCACUCAAUCUUCUGCUGGUGGUUUUCCUGUUUCCAACACAGUAACUUCAAAAACUGACUGUAGCUGGCUGAUUGGUAAAAGAAAAAAAAAUUCUGUCACCCAUCAGUGGUUUUAAUGUUGUGGCUGAUCUCCAUAUUUAUUCAACAUGUGCCAACACUGCAGUUUCGUGGCCUCACUGAGUAAAUGUAGUCUUGCAAGAUGUCUUCUAUUGCUUCCAUAGUCAUAGGUCUAAGUUCUCAAAUCAUAUUGAAGUCAGUUGAUCAUACUGCAGCAAAGUUAAUGCAUACAACUGAGCCUCGGCUGCUCAGUGCUCCACAACACAAUUACUAUGUGUGAACAGUUACUUCUUGAAGCUGCAGUUUCACAGGAUCAUUAAUUAAAGGUACCUAUGAAGACACUGAAAACUGCUGGUGCCAACUUUCAGUAUUCGACAAUAUUUAGUUCUUAGUCCUAUGGUUAUUCAAAAAAAAUUAAGGGUUUAUUAACCAGCCCUCUAUAUACUGGAAUUAACUUUUUACAUUUAAGUUUGAUGAAUGGGGAACUAAUACACUGAGCUGAAAUACUGUAGUACCUAUGAAUGUGACAUUCAUAAACUCAGCUCCUUGUUUUUAUUUUUGACAAAUCUGCUGCUUUUCCAAUGUGAUGGCUUCAAUUGAUCAAAACCUCUUGAAAACAGGACAAUUUUUGUCUCUUUUUAAAAAAAAUGUAUGAAUGAACUAAGCAAUGCUUAUUUUAAAUGAGAACUAACAAAGCAGAAGCUUUCCUGCAGUGACAAAACAUGAGCACAAAUAGAGAAACUGACAUAGAAUGAACCACAUCUGCCAUAUGUAGUGUAGCUGUAAGUGUUAUGUUACUACUUUCAGUCCCACAAAUAAAGGCUUUCAAGGCUUUAAGAUGCUUUUUGCUUUUGAAAGGGUUCUUCAGUUUUCGAAGGUGAGCAGGAGGUGAAAGAGUGAAUGAGUUUUUAGGGUUCUCCUUUGCACAUCCAUCCCUGCUGAGAUGUGUUGCAUGCUAUGGAGUCACAGGUGUGCCACAAUAAAAUAUAAAUAUCUGUGGAAAUAUAAAGACAAAAUAAAUAAAUGUGGAACUAUAAAGAGAGAAAUAAAUCUAAAGGAAAGUUUUACAUUUGCUUUUUCCAUUUUGCAUUUGCUUUUGCCUGUUGUCACUCCUCAGUCCACCAAGUAAUAGCAAUGGCAAAAUCCUUGGUGCACUGAGCUGUCAAUAAAAUGACUCUGGACGGGGCUUCCUGUCCAGGAUGGGUAGUCGUUCCUGAUCACAGGAUUCCUGCCUGAUGCCAGCUCCUAGCACAGCUGAAGUAAAGCGAUGUCACCGUGGCGCUUCGGCUGAUUCUACCAGCAGACACUAAAAGGACUUUAAUAGUUCGCCAACGCUAUGUACAUGGGGGGUCAGGAGAUGAGGAAAGCUCUGGAAAGAGACAACAUAACUGUCAAGAAAAAUCUGGACAAGAUCAUUUUUUAUUACAGAGCUACAGACCACUGGUGCCCUGUUCAGUACUAUCACGACAUCAAACGGGACUUCCCUCAUGGAGACUUGAGACUGUGUGAGAACGGCUUCCGCCACGCCUUCGUCUUGGAUGCAGGACGAGAUGUCGCCUAAAUGGUGUUUAAAUGGAUCAGAGGAGAUCUGACUACAUGAGCUCAUUCUUCUGUUGGCAUUUCUUCCACUGAACACUGAUGACCACAACCUGUGAUGACCAAAACCUACGAGCAGAGAUGUUUUAACUGGACUGAAGAGAGAAGGAUUGGAAAUAUUUUAAAUAUUAAUUUAUAUAGGCUACCUCCCUGCCAUACCCUCUUUCCCAUCCAGUCUGAUGCCACAUUUUAGAUGAUUUAUGCUGUCUUUUAUCAGCCAGUGUGUUCAGUCCCAGCAUGGAGCUCGUAUGUCGUUUCUGUCUGUCACAAUACUCUCCUGUCUCACAGACUGGACCGUCUGGUUUUUGGUAACAAUACUGUAGUUUUAAGUGCAUUCUUGUGAAACUACAAAGGUAAAGAUGUUUUUUACCUAAGAGAUAAAUUAGUUUAUUGUUGUAUGAUCCUAAAUAUUUAAUGGAGUGUUUUUACACAGAAAGCUCUGGUGGCUGUCAUUUUUACAACUUGUUUAUCCACUGAUGGUAUUGUUUUACGUCACAUUGAGGUUGCCUUCCUCUCCUGACCCUUACAGGCCUCCUUACCACUGUGUUGAGAGUUCAGGAUGAACUUCAUUCUAACAAAUCAACUUGUACCUGCACUAACUAGGAGUUCAGCUGUGAACCAGAGCUUGUGUGGUGCUCAUGUUCAUAUCAGGACAGCAUUGUUCUGAAAACCAGUUUGACAUCAUUGUUUAUUUAGAGUUUAUGUCAGGAUUCUGCCUCUAUUACUGCCUUUUUGUUCCUUUUCCUGUUUUUUCAUCCUGUGUUGUCUGGUCUCUCUGUCUCCCUCUGUCUGCUGCUCCCUGCCUACUCUGCACCUGGCCUCUGAUUGUUGUCACUUGAUGCAAUCAAGCUCAGACUCGUUUCACUUGGUCCUCCCCUCUGUAUUUAAGCCCUGCCAUUUCUCUCAGUUGUUGCUGGCUCAUCAUAUUGGAUUCUUUCUGCUUCAGACUCUGUUCCCGCUUUACCUCUGGAUUACACCUGUUUACUGGACAACUCUGCUUUCUCCCCAUUUAUGGAUUAUACCUUUUGGACUUUAUAGUUUUUGAUUUGGACUCAGUUUGUUUCCACCUUCAGUCAUAGUUCCUGUGUGUGAGUAUCAUUUCCUCAGCCCUCUUGUUUGUCACCGUUUUGUUUAUUGUAGCCACUUCAGUCUCGUUUUCAGUUAGUAGUUGUUUUGAUUAA